rnacentral:rRNA from 1 species
CGGGAAAAGCUCAAAUUUAAAAUCUGGCGGUCUCUGGCCGUCCGAGUUGUAAUUUGUAGAGGAUGUUUCUGGCGACGCGCCUUCCGAGUUCCCUGGAACGGGACGCCAUAGAGGGUGAGAGCCCCGUACGGUUGGAUGCCUAGCCUCUGUGAAACUCCUUCGAC